UACGUAGGGGGCAAGCGUUGUUCGGAUUUACUGGGCGUAAAGAGCGUGUAGGCGGCCAAGCAGGUCCGUUGUGAAAACUGGAGGCUUAACCUCCAGACGUCGACGGAAACCGCGCGGCUAGAGUCCGGAAGAGGAGAGUGGAAUUCCUGGUGUAGCGGUGAAAUGCGCAGAUAUCAGGAAGAACACCAAUGGGGAAGGCAGCUCUCUGGGACGGUACUGACGCUGAGACGCGAAAGCGUGGGGAGCGAACAGG
rnacentral:rRNA from 1 species